UGGGGAAUAUUGGACAAUGGGCGCAAGCCUGAUCCAGCAAUGCCGCGUGUGUGAAGAAGGCCUUCGGGUUGUAAAGCACUUUUAUCAGGAGCGAAACGCUGUCGGCUAAUACCCGGCGGAACUGACGGUACCUGAGGAAUAAGCACCGGCUAACUUCGUGCCAGCAGCCGCGGUAAUACGAAGGGUGCAAGCGUUAAUCGGAAUUACUGGGCGUAAAGCGUGCGUAGGCGGUUUCUUAAGUCUGCUGUGAAAUCCCCGGGCUCAACCUGGGAAUGGCAGUGGAUACUGGGAGGCUAGAGUGUGUCAGAGGGUGGUGGAAUUCCCGGUGUAGCGGUGAAAUGCGUAGAGAUCGGGAGGAACAUCAGUGGCGAAGGCGGCCACCUGGGACAACACUGACGCUGAGGCACGAAAGCGUGGGGAGCAAACAGGAUUAGAUACCCUGGUAGUCCACGCCCUAAAGCGAUGCGAACUGGAUGUUGGUCUCAACUCGGAGAUCAGUGUCGAAGCUAACGCGUUAAGUUCGCCGCC
rnacentral:rRNA from 1 species